GACGAACGCUGGCGGCGUGCUUAACACAUGCAAGUCGAACGGUGAAGCGCCUUCCUUUUUGGUGGGUGUGGAUGAGUGGCGAACGGGUUAGUAACACGUUAGUAACCUUCCCCCUUCUUCUUGAUAACCGCAUGAAGGUGUGGCUAAUACGGGAUAUUCUGGAUCUGUCGCAUGAUUGGUCUGGGAAGGUUUUUGUUUCGGUGGGGGAUGGGUUCGCGGCGUAUCAGCUUGUUGGUGGGGUGAUGGCCUACCAAGGCGAUGAGGGGUAGCCGGCCUGAGAGGGUCGGCGGCCACAGUGGGGAUGCGACACCGAGCAGACUGCUACGGGAAGCAGCAGUGGGGAAUAUGGAACAAUGGGCGCAAGGCUGAUGCAGCGACGCGGCGUGGGGGAUGGAGGCCGUCGGGUUGUGAACCUCUUUCGGCGGUGAAGCAAGGUUGCAUUGUUUGUGGGUGGGUUGACGGUAGCUGGAUAAGAAGCGCCGGCUAACUACGUG
rnacentral:rRNA from 1 species